rnacentral:pre_miRNA from 1 species
ACAACAUACCGACGAUCGGACUACAGAUCUAUUUCACCCGUUCGAUGGAAGAUCUUCCCUUUGUUGU